rnacentral:rRNA from 1 species
UACGUAGGGGGCAAGCGUUGUCCGGAAUCAUUGGGCGUAAAGCGCGUGUAGGCGGCCAGAAAAGUCCGCUGUGAAAACUCGAGGCUCAACUUCGAGCUGUCGGUGGAAACUUUCUGGCUAGAGUCCGGAAGAGGAGAAUGGAAUUCCUGGUGUAGCGGUGAAAUGUGCAGAUAUCAGGAAGAACACCCGUGGCGAAGGCGGUUCUCUGGGACGGUACUGACGCUGAGACGCGAAAGCGUGGGGAGCAAACAGG